rnacentral:lncRNA from 1 species
GGUGUGGACUAGGGAGAGAAGGAGAGGGGUGCACACCCCAUCUCCUUGUGGCGUGAAGACUCCUUGUGGGUGCACACCCCCUCUCCUUUCCCUUAUGAGAUAAGCAAAACAUAGGGAUUAAAAGAAUGAAUCCUAAUGAGAUUAGGAUUCCUCUUUAUAUAAAGCUUGGAGUUUGAUGAGGACUCCAAUUGAAUGCCUAUAUAAGGAGACCACCUCUUGACCUUUAGGAGCAAUCAAGCCUCCAAGUAAUCAACCAAAAAGGUCUCCAUGCCUCUUCUCUCUCCCUCUCUUUCUCCAACGCCCAAGAUUUUGGGUGUCCUUGCAUCCACACACCCAAAAAGUGUUUGAGCAUCUCCUCUUUCUUCCAAUCUUUGGUUGGUGGCUAAUCUACAUCAAGAAAGAUUCAAAAAAGAAGGAAAGGCUGAUCAAAGGGUCGAUCAAAAGGAUCCAAAGGCUGAUCAAUUGCAUGUAAAGAAAAUAAGAGAAACAAUCCAAGUUGUUCCUAUGUAGAUAUCCGUAGAGGUCGGACACUUUUGUGGCUAAGAGAAAAUUUAUUCAUCUUUCAAAUCUAGAUUCAAAGAAAAAAAAAGCAAAACAGAUAUGUGAUUUGAUCACACAAUUAAUUUUAGAUUAAAAAUCUACACAUGUUAUUUUCAACACAUGAACUAG